AUUGAACGCUGGCGGCAGGCUUAACACAUGCAAGUCGAGCGGAGAUGAGGUGCUUGCACCUUAUCUUAGCGGCGGACGGGUGAGUAAUGCUUAGGAAUCUGCCUAUUAGUGGGGGACAACAUUCCGAACGGAAUGCUAAUACCGCAUACGUCCUACGGGAGAAAGCAGGGGAUCUUCGGACCUUGCGCUAAUAGAUGAGCCUAAGUCGGAUUAGCUAGUUGGUGGGGUAAGGGCCUACCAAGGCGACGAUCUGUAGCGGGUCUGAGAGGAUGAUCCGCCACACUGGGACUGAGACACGGCCCAGACUCCUACGGGAGGCAGCAGUGGGGAAUAUUGGACAAUGGGGGGAACCCUGAUCCAGCCAUGCCGCGUGUGUGAAGAAGGCCUUAUGGUUGUAAAGCACUUUAAGCGAGGAGGAGGCUACUGAGACUAAUACUCUUGGAUAGUGGACGUUACUCGCAGAAUAAGCACCGGCUAACUCUGUGCCAGCCGCCGCCGUAAGAC
rnacentral:rRNA from 1 species